rnacentral:rRNA from 1 species
UACGGGGGGAGCAAGCGUUGUUCGGAUUUACUGGGCGUAAAGGGCGCGUAGGCGGUCAGCACAAGUCAGUUGUGAAAUCUCCGGGCUUAACCCGGAACGGUCAACUGAUACUGUGCGACUAGAGUGUGGAAGGGGCAACUGGAAUUCUCGGUGUAGCGGUGAAAUGCGUAGAUAUCGAGAGGAACACCUGCGGCGAAGGCGGGUUGCUGGGCCGACACUGACGCUGAUGCGCGAAAGCGUGGGGAGCGAUCCGG